AAAGCGUGCGCAGGCGGCUUUGCAAGACAGAGGUGAAAUCCCCGGGCUCAACCUGGGAACUGCCUUUGUGACUGCAAGGCUAGAGUACGGCAGAGGGAGAUGGAAUUCCGCGUGUAGCAGUGAAAUGCGUAGAUAUGCGGAGGAACACCGAUGGCGAAGGCAAUCUCCUGGGCCUGUACUGACGCUCAUGCACGAAAGCGUGGGGAGCAAACAGGAUUAGAUACCCCGGU
rnacentral:rRNA from 1 species